rnacentral:tRNA from 1 species
GGGGCCGUAGUCUAGCCUGGCUAGGAUUGGGCGUAGCCCCCUGAGGCCGGCCUGGGGACAAACCCCGUAGAUGCCAGCACGCCGGUGAUCCCGGGUUCAAAUCCCGGCGGCCCCA